CCCGCCAUCUUGGGUCGGUCCUCGUCGAGGACGGCGCCCGAAAAACCGCCCUCCUGACGAGAUUUUUUUUCGUCCUCCCCCGCUCAUCCCCUUGAACGAGGUGAUAAUGGUUGGCCUGCGGUUCGAAGAUAAACCCUGUCGGGGACGAGCCUGCACCCAUGAACUGGGACUAGACUGUGGUUUCUGUAUUCUAGAAGGCAGAAGAGUCAUUUCAUCCAACUUAAAUCUAGAGCUAUUACAUACUUGCAUCUCAGGAUAAAUUAGAUGAGCAAGAGUUUGAGGAAAAAAAAAUCCAAUACCAGUCACAGGAGUGUUGAUGACUGAAGAAAAUAUGCUCACCCCAACAGCUCUCUUCUAACUCGCUGUGGCUGGAGGCUGACUGCAGGUGGGGGGAAAUGGAGUGGGAGGAUUGUGGAGGGGAACUGAGCAAAUCUUUCCAAAGUGUUCCAGUUUUAAAAAUUAAGAAUUGUUUAUGACCUGCUGACCUCAUUCCACCACACAGUCCUCCAAUCUUAUUUACUGAGCGCUUGCUGUGGUCAGAGCACUGUACUAAAUGCUUGGGAGAGAACAAUCCAAAGAGCAGGAAUACACGAUCCCUGUCCACAGUGAGCUUACAGUAAAGCUCACCACCUAACAAGUUUAUUUUGAGGGAUAACCCCUAGGACAAAUCUCUCUCAAUACACUUCCUAUUAAAUUUCUAAAUACAAAAGGUUAAUAUUUUACAAGGCAGUUUAUUUAAAGACUCCUUGUACUAAUCACCCAGUGUCUGACGUCUUUUCCACUCUACUCAAUUCAAAGCACAUAGCUAGACUGUAAGCUCUUUGUGGGGAGGGAAUGUGUCCAUUUAUUGCUGUAUUGUACUCUUCCAAGCGCUUCGUACAGUGCUCUGCACAUAGUAAACGCUCAAUACCAUUGAACGAAUGAAUAACAAACUACCCUGUAUUUAUACAGUGCCCCCAAAAUGGCUUCAGUUUGGGGGUAUGAGGAAACAAGUAGACUGACCACAGAUUUUGGCAAAAAAAGUAAUUUACGAGCAAAGCCCUAAACCAAUCUCUUGCCUCUUACCAAAAUGGGGCUUUUUAAUAUUGAUACACAGUUCUUGUUUUUAGAGUCUCUCACAAAAAAAGUAUUUUUAGCAUCUCAAAGCAUUUUAAGGCAUGAGAGACUGAUUCUGGAGUCCAUGAUAUCAGGAGAAAGAGAGAGGCGAGGAUUGGGAUUAUCGCCUUUCGACUGUUAUUUUGGAGAGACACAGACUCCUUGAGACUUAGAGAUCAGAUGGGCUUAUCCAAGGUCAUAUGAUUUCAGAACUAGUUUAUUCCAGCUUUAGAAAGAGAUUAUGGUGCUUCACCUUUCCCAGUUCAGUCACUAGAUCACUCUGGGACAUGGGACACCUACAGAACUUUAGCUGCUUUCCGGAAGGAAAAGGAUCUACUUUUACCACUAUGCAACUUUUUGACCCACAGCUGAGACUUUGAAUGCAUGCACCACAGUGCUGAGCUCCAAAUUACAUGAUCUGAAUAUGUUUAUUUCUCCAUAUGAAUGCAAUAUAGAGAAGUUAAACCUGCAAACUAGUUGAACUCCCUGGAGAGCUAUGUUGGUUCAAGGUUUCAUCAUCAUGGAUGUGGAUAUCGUGACUUGUGGGAAUAUCAAGAUGCAUACGUGUCUGAUAUUUAAAGAUUUCAUUUCUUGGUUUGAAACGUUAUCAGAAAAUGUCAGCCCCUUCCCCAUCCAGCCUGCUGAUUCUAGGCUCUGGUUCCUGUUGUACCGUCAGUUCUGGUCAAAUGCUAACAAUUCUUGACUUGAGACAACAGUUGCAUGAUUAUUA